CCCACGCGCAGUCGCUAGGGGCAGCGCGUAGCGGCGCGUCCGUAGGUGGUUGUGGUGUUUGUGUUGUUGGUUAGGUAGUACUUGUUGAUACGAUCAUGUUGAUAUGUGGUUUGUAGGUUUUGGUUACCGAUGAUGCAUGCUAAGGUUUCCCUCUCGAAUGCUAGGUUUCGUUCGGUUUCCAUUUUUGAGUAUAUUUGAUUUUUAGAAAUCUGGUUUGUGGUUUUAUAGGUUGUGUAGGAUGUUCAAGCGACCUUUUUGAGGUAUAGGGAGAGGUUUUGUCUCGAGUGACAAGUUUAUGGGUUAGGACUUGAGUUUUGGUUCGAGUCGGUUUAUGUUGUUUUUGUUUGUUACUAAGUGGAGAUUCUUUUCUAGGUGGUUGACGAUACGUGUUCGCAUCUUGCCUUUUUGCUAAGAGAAGACGCAGCAGGAGUUUUUGUUUAAGGUGAGUAAAAUCUCACUAAGGUCCACUUUGUGGCCUAUUGAUUUUGAUAUGAUGUUGAUGAUAAUUAUUAUGAUAAUUAUUAGGAUGAUGAAUAUGAUGGUGGUCUUGAUGAUGAUGAUUUUGAUGAUGAUUUUGUUGAUGAUGAUGAUAAUUAUUGCUAAUUGUGAAGUUGUCCUUGAAAGAAAAUGAUUUGUUUUAAAUAUAAAUGAGCUUGAUCGUCAACGGCUCAUGGUAAGUGAAAACAAGUUUUCUGUUAAUAAAAUAAUCUUUCAAAAGGACUUCCGAUCAUGAGUAAUAAUUAGAGUUGGUAGAAUUAUUCUUGUUUUAAAUAUUUAUAUCCACGUGUUUAUGGUGCUUUAGUGGUGAAUGUUGCAUUAGUUGUGAAUAUGUGUGCCUUAGUGGUGAGUGAGUGCAUUCGUUGUGGAUUUGUUGCCUUAGUGGUGAAUGUUUGCAUUAGUUGUGGUUGUGUGCCUGUGUGGUGGUUUUGAGUAUUAGAAUAGGAGCCUUCGUGGUGGACCGGGAACCAAGCCUUGGCCGGGUGAUUGGUUACGGUCAGUUUUAGAGCUCUAGUCUGUCGGUACUUCAUGGGGGAUGACUAUGUGUUGAUGAACCUAUAAGUACGUGUUUGUCUAGUUACUUAUGAGAGAUGACUAUGCGUUGACAAACUCAUAAGUAAGGGUUGAGAAAUGAUUGUGUGGUGUUAUUAUUUAAAUUUCUUGUUUUAAGAAUCUCCUGAACUAUGCUUAAUGCAAGAGAUUCUUUAGUUUUAUUUGUGUGAUUUUUUAGUAGAAUCCUGAACUACGCUUUUUGCAGGAUUUCAUUAUGAUUUGUUUGGUUUUGAAAUUGUUGCUUUUUUCUUAAUUUCUUCUUUUCAUUUCUUUUGAUGGUAAGUGUUUUCCUGAAUUCAUUUUAAUGCAUGAACUCCCAGUUUUAUUCAUGUGUUGUUGGAUUGAGUCAUUUUUGUAGAUUUACUCAUAAAAGCUUUUAAAGCUUACCGGGUUUGUUGUUUACAACCCGGUGCACCAAUCCAUGGUGUAGAGGUUGUUUUUGCAGGUCAGGUUUAGCAGAGUUGAGGCUGCGGCAGAUAGGCAUAGUUCAUUUUGUUUACUUUCUAGUUUGCAGUGAGUUUGAGGGAGGUUUUAUUUGGUUCAAAUUAUUUUCCACAAGUUGUAAAAAUAAAUUGUUGUAUUGAUUUUUAUGCUUUUUGGUUAUCAUGCCUUGAAUUUGGAAUUUUUNNNNN
rnacentral:lncRNA from 1 species